rnacentral:lncRNA from 1 species
UUCCAUUCACUUUAACCUAUAAUGAAAUUAUGUUUUAAAACACUAAGUAAGUUUUUCUGGAUCAACAAUAUAAAAUGUUUUGAACGCUUCGAUGUGGCAUGUCGGAUCCGGCCAUAACGUCUGGGCCGGGUUUGGGGUGUUACAUUUAGUGGUAUCAGAGCCUAGGUUGUAACAACUCGGCUGUGGAAUGGGUUUACAAAAAAAAAGAUUUUCGAAAACGAAAAUUUUAUAAAGAAUGCGAAAAACUCGAUUUU